UGGGGAAUAUUGGACAAUGGGGGGAACCCUGAUCCAGCAAUGCCGCGUGUGUGAAGAAGGCCUGAGGGUUGUAAAGCACUUUCGGCGGGGAGGAGGAUGAGUUGGUUAAGAGCUGACUUAUUGGACGUUACCCGCAUAAGAAGCACCGGCUAACUCCGUGCCAGCAGCCGCGGUAAUACGGAGGGUGCGAGCGUUAAUCGGAAUUACUGGGCGUAAAGGGUGCGUAGGUGGUUAUGUAAGUUAUCUGUGAAAUCCCAGGGCUUAACCUUGGUGUGUCAGAUAAAACUGUGUAGCUAGAGUAUGAGAGAGGGUAGUGGAAUUUCCGGUGUAGCGGUGAAAUGCGUAGAGAUCGGAAGGAACACCAGUGGCGAAGGCGGCUACCUGGCUUAAUACUGACACU
rnacentral:rRNA from 1 species